rnacentral:tRNA from 1 species
GCGACAGUAGCUCAGUUGGUAGAGCGCGACCUUGCCAAGGUCGAGGUCGCGGGUCCGAGUCCCGUCUGUCGCU